rnacentral:rRNA from 1 species
UACAGAGGUCCCGAGCGUUGUUCGGAUUCACUGGGCGUAAAGGGUGCGUAGGUGGAUUGGUAAGUACCUUGUGAAAUCCCACGGCUUAACCGUGGAACUGCUUGGUAUACUGCCUGUCUUGAGCCAACUAGGGGCUAUCGGAACAAAUGGUGGAGCGGUGAAAUGCGUAGAUAUCGGGAGGAACACCUGUGGCGAAAGCGGCGCACUGGACCAUAACUGACGCUGAUGCGCGAAAGCUAGGGGAGCAAACAGG